rnacentral:rRNA from 1 species
AUUGAACGCUGGCGGCAUGCCUUACACAUGCAAGUCGAACGGUAACAGGUCUUCGGAUGCUGACGAGUGGCGAACGGGUGAGUAAUACAUCGGAACGUGCCUAGUAGUGGGGGAUAACUACUCGAAAGAGUGGCUAAUACCGCAUGAGAUCUACGGAUGAAAGCAGGGGAUCGCAAGAACUUGUGCUACUAGAGCGGCCGAUGGCAGAUUAGGUAGUUGGUGGGAUAAAAGCUUACCAAGCCGACGAUCUGUAGCUGGUCUGAGAGGACGAUCAGCCACACUGGGACUGAGACACGGCCCAGACUCCUACGGGAGGCAGCAGUGGGGAAUUUUGGACAAUGGGCGAAAGCCUGAUCCAGCAAUGCCGCAUGCAGGAUGAAGGCCUUCGGGUUGUAAACUGCUUUUGUGCGGAACGAAAAGCCCCGGGUUAAUACCCUGGGGUCAUGACGGUACCGUAAGAAUAAGCACCGGCUAACUACGUGCCAGCCGCCGCCGUAA